rnacentral:rRNA from 1 species
GACGAACGCUGGCGGCGUGCCUAAUACAUGCAAGUAGGACGCAGUUGCGAACGGGUGAGUAACGCGUAGGUGACUACCUAUUAGAGGGGGGUAACUAAUGGAAACGAUAGCUAAUACCGCAUACUAGUAGAUGGACCUGCGUUGUAUUAGCUAGUAGGUAGGGUAAUGGCCUACCUAGGCAACGAUACAUAGCCGACCCUGGAGGGUGGUCGGCCAAACUGGGACUUGGACACGGCCCAGUCUCCUACGGGAGGCAGCAGUAAGGAAUCUUCGGGAAUGGGGGGAAACCUUACCGAGCAACGCCGCGUGAGUGGAGAAGGUUUUCGGAUCGUAAAGCUCUGUUGUUAAGGAAGCGGUACUUAACCAGAAAGGGACGGCUAACUACGUGCCAGCAGCCGCGGUAAUUC